rnacentral:rRNA from 1 species
UGGGGGAUAUUGCACAAUGGGCGAAAGCCUGAUGCAGCGACACCGCGCGGGGGAUGAAGGCCUUCGGGUUGUAAACUUCUUUUGCUCUGAACAAGGCAUGCCUUUGGGGUGUGUUGAGUGUAGGGGUUGAUUAGCGCCGGCUAACUACGUGCCAGUAGCCGCGGUAAUACGUAGGGCGCGAGCGUUGCCCGGAAUUAUUGGGCGUAAAGGGCUUGUAGGUGGCUGGUUGCGUCUGUCGUGAAAGCUCAUGGCUUAACUGUGGGUUUGCGGUGGGUACGGGCUGGCUUGAGUGCAGUAGGGGAGGCUGGAAUUCCUGGUGUAGCGGUGGAAUGCGCAGAUAUCAGGAGGAAUACCGGUGGCGAAGGCGGGUCUCUGGGCUGUUACUGACGCUGAGGAGCGAGAGCGUGGGGAGCGAACAGG